UGUUUAUAUAGGUUAGUUUUUAUCUGGGUAUUGAAAGAGACGAACCAAUGAACAAAGAGGGGCGGCGUGAGAGAAAAGAGAAGAAAAGAAAGAGAGAAAGAGAGGAAGAAAGAGAGAAAGAGGAAAAGAGAAAUGAGGAGAGUGGUGAGGGUGGCUGUUGUGGGCGACACUCAGAGCGCAGAGGUAGACGAUGGUGACACGUAAGCCACCGGCGUCAAGGGAAAAUCGGAGGAGAAAGAGUUGCAAUCUAAAAUUUAUAAAAAAAUAAAGGUACUUGUUAGUUCCAGACUUAGACUUGAUCGUGCUGAGCAGAGACUACUACUCACUCUUCCGAUAAUGUCUUGCGAAAUACUACUCUUGGCUGGUAGUAUGUUUUUAUGGGUCUUGCGAAUUUCUGUGGCAUCACAAAAUGGGAUGUUAUGUUGGGUUAGGAGAAAUUCAAUGGCAUCAUGGGUGGUCCGUAAAUUGGGCAACUACACAGGUCCUCGACAGUUCCAGACGUAGAGUCAGUUCGUACUGAGCAGAGACCAGACUUCAUCACUCUCUCGAUGUCGUCGAUGUAGGACCUCCACUAUGUUUUUGUUUUUUUUUAUUAUUAUUAUUAUUUUUUGAAUUAGACAUUUAUUUAUUUCGUCUUUACUUGGGAUUUUUGUUAGGAGUCCACAUUGUAUGCAUUCCCAAGUUGUACUAUGGAGGUUCUGUUCUUAUAAUGAGAAUUUAUUGGAGAUUGAUGUAUUAAAGGAUUUAUAUUUUAAUUAUUAAUUUAGAUUUCCCCUUUCAGCGUUA